CCAAUCCCCUCGAUUCCCUUUCGACCCACCCGUUCCCACGCGGUUCAGAAUCAUCGAGGCCCCCUAGAGGAUUUGGCUGCUCGACUCGAGACGCCGCCGCCGCCGCUGCGCCGCCUCCUUCCCAAGUCGCCGCGCCACCCGACGCCUCGACGCCGGUGAUCUCCUCCGGCAUACUGGACUUCUCACUGGUGGUUCUCAAGCACCAAAAGAAGCAACAAUAAACAAGCUGGAGGGACAACUUUCUCUCAGAUUCUCAAAGAUAGAUGAUCAUGACACCAAAAGAUGGAUAUAUCUGUAUGCGAAAUUAUAACUGAUCUUGAGCUAUUCCAGAAGUACUUGUGUUGCGUUAUCUUUGCUGCAAAAUUAUGUUGGGGCUGUGAUGAACUGUUGUUGCUGCGAAAGAUCAUGUUGUCAUGAUAAAUUAUGAUUCCUGGGAUUUGGGAUUCGAAGCCAUGCUAUUAUGAUAAAUUAUGAUGUUGUUGUGAUGAUA